rnacentral:rRNA from 1 species
GGGGACCAAAAUAAACCUUUGUAAUAACCUGUAAUUAGUCUGAUUAAAAAAUAAAAAUUAAAACUUUUAACAACGGAUCUCUUGGUUCUGGCAUCGAUGAAGAACGCAGCGAAAUGCGAUAAGUAGUGUGAAUUGCAGAAUUCAGUGAAUCAUCGAAUCUUUGAACGCACAUUGCGCCCUUUGGUAUUCCUUAGGGCAUGCCUGUUCGAGCGUCAUUUUAACCCUCAAGCUCUGCUUGGUGUUGGGUGUCUGUCCUGCCCCCGGGCAUGGACUCGCCUUAAAUUCAUUGGCGGCCGGUACAUUGGCUUCGAGCGCAGCAGAAACGCGAACUCGGGGACGGUGGAUCGGCUCCCAUAAGCCUUUUUUAUCAAUUUUGACCUCGGAUCAGGUAGGGAUACCCGCUGAACUUAAGCAUAUCAAUAAGCGGAGGAA